CAGUGGCAAACGGGUGAGUAACACGUAAACAACCUGCCUUCAGAGGGGGAUAACGUCCUGAAAAGGACGCUAAUACCGCAUGAUAUAUUUGUGCCGCAUGGUAUGGAUAUCAAAGGAGCAAUCCGCUGGAAGAUGGACUCGCGUCCGAUUAGCUAGUUGGAGGGGUAACGGCCCACCAAGGCGACGAUCGGUAGCCGGACUGAGAGGUUGAACGGCCACAUUGGGACUGAGACACGGCCCAGACUCCUACGGGAGGCAGCAGUGGGGGAUAUUGCGCAAUGGGGGAAACCCUGACGCAGCAACGCCGCGUGAAGGAAGAAGGUUUUCGGAUUGUAAACUUCUUUUCUAAGGGACGAAGAAGUGACGGUACCUUAGGAAUAAGCUCCGGCUAACUACGUGCCAGCAGCCGCGGUAAUACGUAGGGAGCAAGCGUUGUCCGGAUUUACUGGGUGUAAAGGGUGCGUAGGCGGCAAUGCAAGUCAGAUGUGAAAUGCACGGGCUCAACCCGUGAGCUGCAUUUGAAACUGUGUUGCUUGAGUGAGGUAGAGGCAGGCGGAAUUCCCGGUGUAGCGGUGAAAUGCGUAGAGAUCGGGAGGAAC
rnacentral:rRNA from 1 species